GGGGAUUUGGGGGGUCCUGCCCAGAGGGAUUUUGGGGGCAGGUCCCACACAAGGCAGGGAUUGGGAGUAGGGGACACCUCCUCGUGCCAUGGGGACAGUUUGGGGACAGUUGAGGAGAGACUGGGGACAGGGAGGGGCAGUUUGGGAUCAGGGACAGACCAGGGGCAGUUUGGGGAUAUUUUGGGGACAGGGAGGGGCAGUUUGGGAUCAGGGACAGACCAGGGGCAGUUUGGGGAUAUUUUGGGGACAGUUUGGGACAGUUUGGGGACAUUUUGGGGACAGUUUGGGGACAGGGAGGGAUCGGGGACAGACCAGGGGCAGUUUGGGGACAUUUUGGGGACAGUUGGGGACAGUUUGGGAUCAGGGACAGACCAGGGGCAGUUUGGGGACAUUUUGGGGACAGGGAGGGACAGUUUGGGGACAGGGAGGGAUCAGGGACAGUUUGGGGACAUUUUGGGGACAGUUUGGGACAGUUUGGGCCAGCAGGGGACGCGCGGGGCUCACCGGGUGAGAAGCGAACCACCGAGAGCUGCUCGUUCCCAUCCGAGCCCCCGGCCAGGAGCUGCCGCGUGCCCGUGUCCAGCACCAGCCACCUGCGGGACAGGGGGACAGGGGGACACGGGACAGGGGGACACGGGACAGGGGGACACAGGACAGGGGGACACGGGACAGGGGGACAGGGGACACGGGACAGGGGGACACGGGACAGGGGACACGGGGACAGGGGGACACGGGACAGGGGGACACGGGGACAGGACCGCGACACCCGGGGAGAUGGGGACAGCAAGGAACAGGGCAGACAGGUGGGACACCACGAUGGGGGAGGGACAAGGGGACCAUGGGCACUGUCCCCCCAUGUCCCUGUGUCCCCCCAUGUUCCCCCUGUGUCCCCCCAUGUCCCACGGUGUCCCCCCAUGUCUCCCCCAUGUCACCCCGGUGUCCCCCCAUGUCCCCCCAUGUCCCCCCAUGUUCCCCCGGUGUCCCGGUCACUCACCGCCCGCUCAGCAGCCCCACGGCCACCACGUGUCCCCCGGGGUGGAAGUCGGCGCAGAGCCCGGUGUCCUGGGGGUGGGGAGGGGUCACGGGGGUCCCCGGGACCCCUCCCCACCUCGGAGCCCCAACCCGGAGCUGCCCCCACCCCCCGCGCCCCCAGACCCAAUUCGGGGGUCCCCAGCCCGUGUGUGCUCCUCGUCCCUUGUCUCCGGAGCACCCCUGACACCCCCAAACCCAGACCCCUGCAAAGCACCCUCUGACCCCCCCAAAUCGCGCUCCUGA
rnacentral:lncRNA from 1 species